AACCAAACUAAACCGAAUUGAAUUAACAAUGUAGUUCGGUUUUUUUCGAUUUUCAAUUUAGAUCGGUUUGAAUUUUUGCAAAAAUAUGGAUUUCGGUUCGGUUUCAAUUUGGGGCUUCCAAAAACCGAAAACCGAAAAUCCAAACCGAAAUAUAUUCAGCCCAAAUAUCCAAGCCUAUCUCCCCUACAUAUAUAAAUCAAUUAAAACCCUAAAUCACUUUUCCGUUUCUCACGUACUCUUUUUCACUUGCGGCAACCCUAAGUCCCUAAUACCUUUUUCCUUUUUUCCCUUUCUCACUUCCCUUACGACCACAGACCACUGCUCAGGCGCUCAUCCCCUAAUCACCGACCACCUCUCCUCCGCUCCACCCUCACCGGCCAUCGUCUUCCCUCUAGAAGAAUGUCAACAAAAUGUUGGUGAAAUUGAUCCGGAAAUGAUAGAGAUCAACUGAUGAUGCCUUGCUGCCCUUUGCUGCUGAAGUGUUGGAUUACUUGAUUUUACUCGUAUAAUGAAUUUGGAUUACUUUUAUGGACAACAUGCAAUUACUCUUAUGAAAAAUUGAGGUUACUCAUAUAUUUAAAUGAAGAUUACUAUUAUAAACCAAUGUGGCUACACCACAUACAAGACUUUCCCUUUUAAAAUAUAGGCAUCUUUGAAGCAUUAAUCAUGCAUGACAAAUUGACAACA